rnacentral:rRNA from 1 species
AUUGAACGCUGGCGGCAGGCCUAACACAUGCAAGUCGAACGAGUGGCGGACGGGUGAGUAAUGUCUGGGAACCUGCCUGAUGGAGGGGGAUAACUACUGGAAACGGUAGCUAAUACCGCAUACCCUCGGAUGUGCCCAGAUGGGAUUAGCUAGUAGGUGGGGUAAAGGCUCACCUAGGCGACGAUCCCUAGCUGGUCUUAGAGGAUGACCAGACACACGGGAACUGAGAAACGGUCCAGACUCCGACGGGAGGAAGCAGUGGGGAAUAUUGCACAAUGGGCGCAAGCCUGAGGCAGCCAUGCCGCGUGUAUGAAGAAGGCCUUCGGGUGGUAAAGUACUGUCAGCGGGGAGGCGUUACCCGCAGAAGAAGCACCGGCUAACUCCGUGCCAGCAGCCGCGGUAAUUC